rnacentral:lncRNA from 1 species
CACCACUGCAAGAGGGGAAGUUGCUACUGUGAUGAAUUCUGCCAUGUGGUACCAGACUGCUACCCAGACCACAGUGUCCUCUGCAACCCUCCUUCUCAGAUGACCAAGAUGGUGCUGCAGAUGGUGCUGAGGAUGGAGAACCCACCAAGCCCCGCUAGGAGCCACCUAGACUGGAUGUAGAGCAUGGACAAUUUGCUGAGGUCUGGGAGCACCCCCUCCAGAGAGUCCCUGAUCUCUCAAAACUUGGUCGUGAUCUAAAGUUUAUUUGAUGUACAACUCCCCCUCCCCUUCUUUUGGAGUUUUAUUUGCUUCCAAGAAGGAAGGCAAGAUUUCCUGGGUCCGUGAUGAUGGAAGGCUGACAACUCUUUUAUGGAGUUUGAGCUUGCUCCCAGCAGGGAAGACAAGUUCGAGUUUUUUUCCUGCUUCAAGGAUGGUAGAGAGCAGUCUUCAGCCUGAGACCCAUCCCUAGAGAAGGCUUCUAAUGACUUGAGCCCCUUUAAAGGAUUCGGAACAAAGGGGCCACUCACCCCUUCCAGGGUGCU